AACGAACGCUGGCGGCAUGCUUAACACAUGCAAGUCGAACGGUGGGCCUCUUCCGACGGUAUCAGAGGGGAGAGGAUGACUAACAAACGUGCCACCUGCCGCCGGAUCUCGCAUGACUCCUGGAACUUGUGGCUAAUAUCAGAUGAUCGCCGCUUCUCUCAUGCGUCGUGGUAGAGACCUUUUCCCGAUGAGCAUGGUCCCGCGGUCAAGCCUCUUGUUGGUGACGAACUGUCCUUGCUCUGAGACGACGACCAGCCGGCCUGAGACUGAGACCCGGCCCACAGUCACUGAGACACCGCCCAUACUCAUUCUUGAAGCAUGGGCGCGGAAUAUAUCCCACUGUGCCGAAUGCUGAAACAACGACUCCGCAUGGUGGAUGACUUUCUUCGGGUACUAUAACUAUUUCACCCGGAAAAAAACCCCCGUGACAGUUCCUGCCAACAACCCCCGUAACACCUACGUGGCUACCGCCGCUCUAAUAUACAGGGCGCAAACGUUGUCCAGAAUUAUCUGCUUAACAGAGCUCGAAUUCCCUGCGUCUCCCUGGCUGCUGCACCCGGAGCUCAACUCCGGGCCUGCAGUCGAUACGGGCGGACUUGAGUUCGGCAGGGGAGACUGGAAUUCCUGGUGUAGCGGUGAAAUGCGCAGAUAUCAGGAGGAACACCGGUGGCGAAGGCGGGUCUCUGGGCCGAAACUGACGCUGAGGAGCGAAAGCGUGGGGAGCGAACAGGAUUAGAUACCCUGGUAGUCCACGCCGUAAACGUUGGGCGCUAGGUGUGGGGGCCAUUCCACGGUCUCCGUGCCGCAGCUAACGCAUUAAGCGCCCCGCCUGGGGAGUACGGCCGCAAGGCUAAAACUCAAAGGAAUUGACGGGGGCCCGCACAAGCGGCGGAGCAUGUUGCUUAAUUCGAUGCAACGCGAAGAACCUAACCUAGGCUUGACAUGCACGGAAAAGCGGCAGAGAUGUCGUGUCCUUCGGGGUCGUGCACAGGUGGUGCAUGGUUGUCGUCAGCUCGUGUCGUGAGAUGUUGGGUUAAGUCCCGCAACGAGCGCAACCCUCGUUCCAUGUUGCCAGCGCGUGAUGGUGGGGACUCAUGGGAGACUGCCGGGGUCAACUCGGAGGAAGGUGGGGAUGACGUCAAAUCAUCAUGCCCCUUAUGUCUAGGGCUGCAAACAUGCUACAAUGGCCGGUACAAAGGGCUGCGAUACCGCGAGGUGGAGCGAAUCCCUAAAAGCCGGUCUCAGUUCGGAUUGGGGUCUGCAACUCGACCCCAUGAAGUGGGAGUCGCUAGUAAUCGCAGAUCAGCCACGCCGCGGUGAAUACGUUCCCGGGCCU
rnacentral:rRNA from 1 species